rnacentral:lncRNA from 1 species
CCGUAAAAAUGGUCAAACCUCAGUAUUUGCAGUAUAAGCUAGAAAAAAUGCUCUUAAUAGAUAGCAUAUCCCUAAAAAAUAGCACGCUCCCCUAUAUUCAAGCUUCCAUUCGUCAUAUCUGGAGGAUUUCAACCGUUUUUGGAGGAUCUGUAAAGUCGGUCAAGCUGAAGCACAGGAACCUCACGACGCCACACAUGAGCAGCGAGCAAGCGGAGGAGCUCGUGGGGCGGGCGGUCAGGGCAUCAUCGGAGCGGGUCGGAGCAUCCUCAGAGCAUCAGUGAAGCGUCAUCGGAUCAGGCAGUGGCUCAAAGCGGCACCGUUUUGGUCGGCUAGAGUUCAAGUUCGUCCAUGCCUGCGUCCGAGGGAAGAAGCGUGAGGAGGGGAAAAAACGUUUACGGUACGGUUUUACGAACAUGUUCCUUGAUGUCCUAAAUUCGAUUUAGGGAAGCACAUAUAUAUAUUGAUUUUUUACACGUGAUGUUUUACGGCAUCUGCUAAAGAUGACUUUAAGGGAUUCUUUUUAAUGGUAAAAUGGCCUCCAUCCCAUAAACUGAUGGUUAUUUUAUCAGUUGGCCCGUUUAUGGGAUCUAUUAGAGAUGCUCAGCAACGUUUUCCUAUUCCAUUGGGUGCUAUAAAAUGAUCCGCA